rnacentral:rRNA from 1 species
CUACGGGGUGCAGCAGUGGGGAAUUUUGGACAAUGGGGGCAACCCUGAUCCAGCCAUGCCGCGUGAGUGAAGAAGGCCUUCGGGUUGUAAAGCUCUUUCAGCCGGGAAGAAAUCGCAUGGGUUAAUACCCUGUGCGGAUGACGGUACCGGAAUAAGAAGCACCGGCUAACUACGUGCCAGCAGCCGCGGUAAUACGUAGGGUGCGAGCGUUAAUCGGAAUUACUGGGCGUAAAGCGUGCGCAGGCGGAUGCUUAAGUCAGAUGUGAAAUCCCCGGGCUUAACCUGGGAAUUGCAUUUGAAACUGGGUGUCUAGAGUGCGUCAGAGGGGGGUGGAAUUCCACGUGUAGCAGUGAAAUGCGUAGAGAUGUGGAGGAACACCAAUGGCGAAGGCAGCCCCCUGGGAUGACACUGACGCUCAUGCACGAAAGCGUGGGGAGCAAACAGGAUUAGAUACCCCGGUAGUC